rnacentral:rRNA from 1 species
ACUCCGUGCCAGCAGCCGCGGUAAUACGGAGGGGGUUAGCGUUGUUCGGAAUUACUGGGCGUAAAGCGCGCGUAGGCGGAUCGGAAAGUUGGGGGUGAAAUCCCAGGGCUCAACCCUGGAACUGCCUCCAAAACUAUCGGUCUAGAGUUCGAGAGAGGUGAGUGGAAUUCCGAGUGUAGAGGUGAAAUCGUAGAUAUUCGGAGGAACACCAGUGGCGAAGGCGGCUCACUGGCUCGAUACUGACGCUGAGGUGCGAAAGUGUGGGGAGCAAACAGGAUUAGAUACCCUGGUAGUCCACACCGUAAACSAUGAAUGCCAGACGUCGGGUAGCAUGCUAUUYGGUGUCACACCUAACSGAUWAAGCAUUCCGCC